GAUGAACGCUGGCGGCGUGCCUAAUACAUGCAAGUCGAGCGAACAGACGAGAAGCUUGCUUCUCUGAGGUUAGCGGCGGACGUGUGAGUAACACGGGGAUAACCGACCUAUAAGACUGGGUUAACUUCGGGAAACCGAAGCUAAUACCGGAUAAUAUAUUGAACCGCAUGGUUCAAAAGUGUAAUACGGUCUUGCUGUCACUUAUAGAUGGAUCCGCGCCGCAUUAGCUAGUUCGUAAGGGAACGGCUUACCAAGGCAACGAUGCAUAGCCGACCUGAGAGGGUGAUCGGCCACACUGGAACUGAGACACGGUCCCGACUCCUACGCGAGGCAGCAGUCGGGACUCUUACGCAAUGGGCGAAAGCCUGACGGAGCAACGCCGCGUGAGUGAUGAAGGUCUUCGGAUCGUAAAACUCUGUUAUUAGGGAAGAACAAAUGUGUAAGUAACUGUGCACAUCUUGACGGUACCUAAUCAGAAAGCCACGGCUAACUACGUG
rnacentral:rRNA from 1 species